AUACUUACCUGGCAAGGAGAUACUGUGAUCAAGAAGGCAGUUCAACGCAGGGCGAGGCUCAGCCAUUGCACUCCGGCUGUGCUGACCCCUGCGAAUUUCCCAAAAUGUGGAAAUCUCGAUUGCAUAAUUUAUGGUAGUGGGGGACUGCGUUCGCGCUCUCCCCGG
rnacentral:snRNA from 1 species